UAUGUGAUCGUCUCUCGCAUAUCAAUAAGCGGAGGAAAAGAAACUAACAAGGAUUCCCCUAGUAACGGCGAGUGAAGCGGGAAGAGCUCAAAUUUGAAAUCUUAAAGGGUUUCCCUUUACGAAUUGUAGUUUAAAGAAGUGUUUUCUGUUGAGGUUUUGGUAAAAGUUCUCUGGAAUAGGACAUCAUAGAGGGUGAGAAUCCCGUAUUUGACCUUUACUUUCAACUUUGUGAUACACUUUCAAAGAGUCGGAUUGUUUGGGAAUGCAGUCCAAAAUGGGUGGUAAAUUUCAUCUAAAGCUAUAUAUUGGCGAGAGACCGAUAGCGAACAAGUACCGUGAGGGAAAGAUGAAAAGAACUUUGAAAAGAGAGUUAAACAGUACGUGAAAUUGUCAAAAGGGAAGCCUUUGACACCAGUGUUGUUUUUCUGAAAAUCAAUUAAAGAACUGUUUAUGCUAAGUUGUUUAGACUUUAUCAGCUAUCUGUUUAGCUUUGAGCUUUUCUUUAAUGCACUUUUCAGUUAACAAGUCAACAUCAAUUUCUUUUGCUGUAAAAAAGCUUGAGGAAGGUGGCUUGAGAUUCGUCUUAAGUGUUUAUAGCCUCUUGCCUAUGCAGUCGGAGAGAUUGAGGUCUGCAGCGUAGAUCCUUCGGGGCUAAAUGCAUUUGUGCUAAGUUAUAGCAUUUUAUAGACAACUUGUUGACUAUGAUUUGUCUUGUAGCUUACUCGCUUAUGUUAUUUUACCUACGCUUAGGAUGUUGAAGAUAUGCGCGACACG
rnacentral:rRNA from 1 species